ACUUGGACUGAUGGCAGCAACAGCUUAUUCAGAAACUGGCAAAGUGGACAACCAGAUAACGCAAAUGUUAACGAGUUCUGUGCGGCUGAGAACGCUCAGCAUGAAUGGAGUGAUUUUGACUGUAAUGUCCAGAAAACUUUCGUUUGCCAUGAAGAUCCAAAAGGGAUGGUGGUGAAGAUGAAGUUUCAGACCAGCGCUGACAUGACAGAUCCAGCUAUUGACUCCCAGUUCAUCCAGCAGCUGGGUGCACUGCUAAAACGUCGGGGACUGAUGGACAUUAAGCUGCAAUGGAAGAUUCAGCCCAGAAAACAGGAAAACGAUCAAGAGGAACUCCCAGGAGCUCAGUGCACUUAAUUUGGUUUUGUCUGCAGCCACAACAUCAGCCUGCAUGUUUAAAAUCAUCGGAUGACACAUUUGACAAAUAAUCCUUUAC